rnacentral:ncRNA from 2 species
GUGUCAUUUGAAAGGAGAGCAGGUUAGCACUCCCCUUGACAAGGAUGGAACACACACCCUGAGAUCAGUGGGCACCCAGAGAAAAACCUGAUCUCGGCCAUUUUUUUCGAUGAUUUUGGGUUUUUGC